AGAGUUUGAUCCUGGCUCAGAGCGAACGCUGGCGGCAGGCCUAACACAUGCAAGUCGAGCGCCCAGCAAUGGGAGCGGCAGACGGGUGAGUAACGCGUGGGGAUCUACCCAAUGGUACGGAAUAACCCAGGGAAACUUGGACUAAUACCGUAUGUGCCCUUCGGGGGAAAGAUUUAUCGCCAUUGGAUGAACCCGCGUCGGAUUAGCUAGUUGGUGAGGUAAAGGCUCACCAAGGCGACGAUCCGUAGCUGGUCUGAGAGGAUGAUCAGCCACACUGGGACUGAGACACGGCCCAGACUCCUACGGGAGGCAGCAGUGGGGAAUAUUGGACAAUGGGCGCAAGCCUGAUCCAGCCAUGCCGC
rnacentral:rRNA from 1 species